UUAAGUUCAGCGGGUAUUCCUACCUGAUCCGAGGUCAACCUUUCAGAAGUGGGGGGUUUAACGGCGUGGCCGCGCUGCGAUCCAGAGCGAGUGUUGCUACUACGCAGAGGAAGCUACAGCGAGACCGCCACUAGAUUUAGGGGACGCGCGCCGCGAGGGCACGCCGAUCCCCAACACCAAGCCCGGGGGCUUGGGAGGUU
rnacentral:misc_RNA from 1 species